rnacentral:rRNA from 1 species
CCUACGGGUGGCAGCAGUGGGGAAUAUUGGACAAUGGGCGAAAGCCUGAUCCAGCCAUGCCGCGUGUGUGAAGAAGGCCUUCGGGUUGUAAAGCACUUUCUGUGGGGAAGAAAGCCUUGGGGCUAAUACCCUCGAGGAAGGACAUCACCCACAGAAGAAGCACCGGCUAACUCCGUGCCAGCAGCCGCGGUAAUACGGAGGGUGCGAGCGUUAAUCGGAAUUACUGGGCGUAAAGCGCGCGUAGGCGGUCUGAUAAGCCGGUUGUGAAAGCCCCGGGCUCAACCUGGGAACGGCAUCCGGAACUGUCAGGCUUGAGUGCAGGAGAGGAAGGUAGAAUUCCCGGUGUAGCGGUGAAAUGCGUAGAGAUCGGGAGGAAUACCAGUGGCGAAGGCGGCCUUCUGGACUGACACUGACGCUGAGGUGCGAAAGCGUGGGUAGCAAACAGGAUUAGAUACCCGAGUAGUC